AGAUUGAACGCUGGCGGCAGGCCUAACACAUGCAAGUCGAGCGGUAGAGAGGUGCUUGCAUCUCUUGAGAGCGGCGGACGGGUGAGUAAUGCCUAGGAAUCUGCCUAGUGGUGGGGGAUAACGUUCGGAAACGGACGCUAAUACCGCAUACGUCCUACGGGAGAAAGCGGGGGACCUUCGGGCCUCGCGCCAUUAGAUGAGCCUAGGUCGGAUUAGCUAGUUGGUGAGGUAAUGGCUCACCAAGGCGACGAUCCGUAACUGGUCUGAGAGGAUGAUCAGUCACACUGGAACUGAGACACGGUCCAGACUCCUACGGGAGGCAGCAGUGGGAAUAUUGGACAAUGGGACGAAAGCCUGAUCCAGCCAUGCCGCGUGUGUGAAGAACGGUCUUCGGAUUAGUAAAGCUAACUUUUAAGGUUGGGAAGGAAGGGUUAGUAAACCUUAAAUACGUUGUACAACUUUGACGUUAACCGAACAAGAAUAAGACACCGCUAACUCGUGCAGCA
rnacentral:rRNA from 1 species